GGGCAGCAUCCUUAGGGAUGCACUGGGAUCGGGUAAGGUGCAGGCUGCAGCUCAUUUGGCAAGCUAAGAGAGAAGCAUGUGACUUGAGCAUUAUCACUGACCAACUGUGUCCUGGCUCCUGGUAAAGUUGCUCUCCUAGCUGUUUCACCUUUCUGCAGGAGUUUUGAAUCAAUUACGGUAUUCCAAGUCUGUAAGGUAGCAGUGGGUAGCAUUUAUGUAAUGCACACUUGGUACCAGUUGUGUAUCCACUUGUUUAAAUCUCACAACUUCAGGAGGUGAGUAUAGUUUUUAGUCCCAUUUUAUUGAUGGGAAAAUUGAGGCACAGAUACAUGACAUCACGUAUCUAUAGUCCUACAGCUAGUAAGUGACCAAAUGACCUUAAGUAGACUGGCUCCUGUGCCUGAGUUCUUGUCCAUCCUGUUUAUUGACUCCCUGUUUAGAGAGUUUAACCUGGUAUUAAAGGUUUUGUAAGUCCAUCUACCCGAAGGGCCUGGGGGAAUUCUGUCUGCAGAGUCUCGUGUAGAUUGGUGGUGACUGGGCUGGAGGAGACUGACUGCAGGUGGGUGAGGGUUUGCUCUCUGGGCAGGUGGUGAAGUCCCAGCACUGGAUUGUGCACCUGGCUGCACACCUGUACAUUGGCGAACAUCACUGACUCCUAAUUUUAAGAUGGUCAGUUGGAUGGUGUGCAACUCAUGUGUCAAGAAUGCUGCUUCAGAAACAAACCAGAUUCCUUAGAAGCUGUUGCUGCUUGGCCUGCGCUGUACAGAGAUCACUGGAUAUGAAAUUCUGAAGUGUGGCCCGUGCUGGCUGGAGCAUUAGAAGUCAUUUUCCUGCUUUGCAGGGGCCAGUAUUUCUGAAACCAGGGCUGGGCCUCCAGACUGAUGUGAACUCUGU